ensembl:lncRNA
AAACCCGUAGGCCAAUUUCAUUUAUAAAAACUGGUACAGACACCCUAAAUUAGCGAACAACUUAGUAGCAUUUUAAAAUCCUAAUAAAAAAAGGCCAUGUGAGGUUUAUUCUAGGCAUUUACAAAUGUUUUGAAAGUGGAAACUUAAUUUAUAUUAAGAUCUUAGUAACAGAGGCAUGUUGAGAGAGUGUCUACCAUCAUGAAUUUUUGAACAUGAUUCUAGAGGCAAUAGGUAAUGUGUGUGAGAGUAUGAACCUGUUCCUUUGGAAAACCCCAAAGAAUUAUUUGAAGAGGAGAAUUUAGAAAUGUGGCUGGCUAUAAUAAAAUCCAUAAAGAGCAAUACUUUCCUAUAGAUUAUAACUGGAUAGGGUACAAUGCCAGAGAAUCUAGCAUAGCAACAAUAGGUAAGUUUGUAAGAAUCGAAAGAAACCUGCAAGAUCGAGUUGAAGAAAACCAUCUCCUGAAGGACAAAGAUGAAGAAGCUCGGGGAAGAAAGAUUCCUAGAUCCAGGGUCAAGGAGUAAACCUGCCCGUAAACCAGGGACAGCACAGGGCUCCAGAUGGAGGCUGGUCACCAAGGUGUUUGGAAUGGACCGAAGUUCACCCUGUCCCUAGUCUGAGACCUCCUGUCCAGAACUUGCUCCUCCAGCUCCGUGAGGACUGUCCUGUGAGGCCUACGGACGAAACUGAGACGUCAAGACCUGGUCAGGGACGUGUUUUCUUGCCUGAGAGAGAGCAAGGAAAGCUCCCUCCAGGGGCCGCGCAUUGUCAGCGGCCAGUUGAGAGCCUGGCCUCCUUCAGAGCUUGCCCCUGUUCUUUGCGGCCAAGGCCAACCUCAUCCACACAUUUGUUCUCCUUCAACAAAGGCUUACUGAGCUCCUGUAAAAUGGCAGACUCUUCUGCGACCUUUCAUCCAGCUGACUCAUCCUAAGCUUAAAUUCCACUUGCCCUGGUAGCUCUUCCACUACCCCUACACUUGGUUAGAACCACCCUGCCCUCCUCCCCACCGCCCGUGUUCUUAACAUCCCACAUUUCUCCUACUUCUUGUAGCUGCUUAACUUUUGGGCUCCCCUGCUUGACUCUUGGCAUUAUGAGGGCAAAGGGCCUGAUACCUUAAUCACUGCUCUCGCACGGUGUCUGGCAUGCCAGGAUACCUUUGAUGAAGUUAUUUUAACCUCGAUAAGCUCCAGCUAGAAACACGGGAAUGAGAUCACCUUCUAGAUGUAAUCCCUGCCCCCUUUUACAAACCUGGGUGGGAGGAGAUGCAAAGAGAGGUUAGAGCAUCCAGCGAGUGGCAGAGGUAAAAUCACAACGCAGACAGUCUGACUCCAGAUCCUCAUUCUCCACCCUUAUGUGAUGCUCUCUCUCAAAGAUGCUCUUUGCAGGUAAUGCCAUGGUUCACCUGAUUUUCCUACCCCAGUUUAGAAACCGUGUAGGACUGCUGCCAGAAAUUUUGUGUUUCCCUUUUGUGGUCUGUUUAGGAUGUUAGCGACCACGUUUCGGAGCUGUCGGUGUGGGCAUAAAACAUACUUUGUAAGGUUGUUAUAAGGAUCACAGACCUUAUAAAGUGCAUAAAGACCUUAUGAAGUGCAGAGGGGGAUAAAGUUUUGAGGGUACUGUCUUAAGUAAUGAGGAUGAGUGUCCCGUAGCUGGCACGGCGGCGUCCAUGUAGUAAAUCCUCAACAGUGGUAACUGUCUUCUGCUUUGAACCACAUCGCUUUACUGUUCUGGAGUCCUCCUUCCUCUCAUGAGUUAAUAAAAACAUCUACAGGGCAUGCA